AUAUGAGUUCGGCUUCCCGUGGCAGCGGACAGAUGCUCGGAGGCUACUAGCGUGCUUGGGAGUUGUGGGUUUACGCCUACUUUCCCAGGCUUGCACCCGUGCCAGACACGGAGACCCCCCUCGUCGUCCCAUUCUCGUGACGCUUCGACGGGAGAUGCACGCGGAGGCCACGAGAGACAUUUAGCUUCUUUCGCCGUUACUUCGACACCAUCACCCCUGCCGAGAUCACGUGGCAGCCUUGGGCUCCGUUGCCGGCGACGAUUCGGGACUGAU